AUGUCCCAAGCCAUCGUCCAGAGGGCAUGCGCGAAGCUCAGCUCCGCCUUAGUAGAUGAAACGGUGGCGCGUUUGAACUUCACCGCUGACCUGCGGGAUACAUUGGAGGCGUUCGACGCCAUCCAGCCGAUGCUGGACAAAGCCGAGAUGCAGCCGUUCAUGGAUAGUAAGGUGUCGUUUUGGCUGCAGCGUGCCUGCAACGCCGCCUACAAGACCAUAGACACAGUCGACGAGCUGCAGGACGCGAGACCACAGCCUACUGCAACGAUGACAAGGAUGCUGCCCCGCCUUGCCAUCAUGAAGAAUGCCAUGGCCAUCCAGGUGCAGGAGACCAAAAAACUAGUGAUGUGGGUACAAGAGUAUUCGCGAGAGUUAUCAGGAUAUAUAGCAGACAAAACCAUAAUAUUCCAGAAAGUUAUUGAGGAACGAAAAACUGGACCAGUUUUUGAGGAAGCAAUGGUUCUGAAAAGAGGAUCAGAUAAACAGAGGAUAAUCGCCGCCCUGCUAUCUACUGAGCCUAACAUCACGCAAGAGCACAUCACAAUUCUUCCCAUCUUUGGAUUUCCUGGCAGCGGCAAGACAACCUUGGCACAAAUGGUUUUUAAUGAUACCCACUCCCUCCUAGGCUAUGACUUCCGAGCAUGGGUUCAUGUUUCUCCACAUUUCAACUUCCAUACAAUAGGCAAGUUCAUCAUUUGUCAGGUGUCAGGAAGAGGACAAGAAGAGAUCAGCCAUUCUUCUUCAGACGUGGAGGGGAUGGAGAGUAUAAUGAAGCGCCUUCACAAGCUACUUGAUGGUAAGAAGGUGCUCCUUGUGUUGGAUGAAUUGUGGGAGGAGGACCCCAUUCAGUUACAGUUGUUGAAGUCCAUGUUAACUUUCUUGGGAGACAAGAUGGACGUAAUAGUAACCACAUGCAACCAAGCCGUCGCCAGGAAGACCUGUACAGUUGAGCCAUACAGGCUAAAGCUACUAAGUGAUGAAACAUGCUGGGAAAUAAUCAAGAAAUCAAUCCGUUUUGAAGCAGGAGAAGAAGAGUUGGAGAAGAUUGGACGGAAGAUCACAAGCAAAUGCUGGGGUGUGCCAUCAAUAGCUCGCCAAUAUGCAGGCAUGCUAGAUUCUUCCCGUGAUGCUAACAAAUGGAAAAGAACCAUGCAAAUGAAUAUCUGGUCCUGGGGUGUACCAUCAGCCCUUUCAAGUCUCGAGCUAUGCUACAUGAGUAUGCCACCAGACUUGAGGCUAUGCUUUGAUAAUUAUUGUGCAGUCUUCCCAACUGGCCACAACAUAGUCAAAGAUGACCUGGUUCAGCAAUGGAUUGCUCUGCACCUCGUUGAGCAAUCUGAUAUAUUAUCUGCCGCACAGAUAGCUGAGAAGCAUAUUACCAGGCUUCAGGACAUGGCAUUCCUUCAAACUGCAGAGCUGGACCACAUGACAAGGAUGUUGCCCUGCAUUCCCACCACGAAGAACGCCAUGGCCAUGAAGCUGGUUCUGAUGAAAACAAAAAUUAUGGAUAUAGAAGACAAGUACCAUAGAUACUCAUUGUUCGAGGAGUCAGAGGAUGCGGCAUUCAAGAAAAUUAUAGACGGGCGAAAAACAUGGCCAAACCAACCAUUUUUAGAGGAAGCAUUGGUGUUUGAAAGGGGAUCAAAUAAACAGAGGAUAGUGGCUGUGCUGCUAUCUGCUAAGCACAUCACACGAGAGCCCAUCACCACCAUUCUUCCAAUCUUUGGGCUUGCAGGAAUUGGCAAGACAACCUUGGCACAAAUGCUUUUUAAUGAUACCCACUUCCUUCCAGGUUACGACUUCCGGGUAUGGGUCCAAGUCUGGCCCGAACUUGACUUUCAUACAGUAGGAGAGUCCAUAAUUCACCGGAUAACAGGAGCUACAGGAGAACAAGAGAUCAACGAUGACCAUGGUUCACAAAUGGGUAUUGAAAGUAUAAUGGAGCAUCUUCACCAGGUACUUAAUGGUAAGGUACUCCUUGUUUUGGAUGACUUGUGGGAGGAGGAUCCCAUUCGGUUAGGGGAGUUGAAGUCCAUGUUAACUUCCUUGGAAGACAAGAUGGACGUGAUAGUAACCACAUGCAACCAGGCCAUCGCGAGGAACAUCUGUACUGUUGAGCCGUACAAGCUAAAACCAUUGAGUGAUGACACAUGUUGGGAAAUAAUCAAGAAAUCAAUCCAUUUCAAAAAGGAAGAUAAAGAAGAGGCUGAGAAGGUAGGACGGGAGAUGGCAAGCAAGUGCCGCCGUGUACCAUCAGCGGCUCAAGCAUUUGCGGGAUUGCAAGCUUCUUCCCAAGAUGUUAGGAAACGGGAAGAUGCCAUGCUAGAUUCAACAUUUCUUUUACCGAUUUAA
rnacentral:rRNA from 1 species